AUGCAGAACAUCAACCGGAUCUCGAUCUCCAACACCAGCAUGUCAAUGCUCUGCGUCAUGUUUGGACCCCAAGGUUGGGCAGACUUGCCAGAUGUGCUAUUGUGUUCCAUCAUGGUCCUGUUGGGUUCAAGCCGUGACCUUCUUGCAUUCAUCGCCACCUGCCCCAGUUGGCGUGCCGCGUUCAUGUCAAUGAAGCCUGCCUUAGACAUGAUCUUCCCACCGGUUAUUUUCCGGAACUGUGCCGACCAAACAAGCCCAGCUGGCUGCAACACUGGAAACACAUGGGAGCUUAUUGAUCUUGCCUAUCCAAGUACUCCAUUGCGUCGGUUGAGCCUCCCAAAUAUUUUGGACACAAUGGAAAUUCUGAAAUGUUCUUAUGGUCAUGCUAUCUUCUCCUCUGGCAGAUCCCAUGUAAUUAUGGACGUGCUCACUGGCACCACGGUUGCAGCUCCACCUUGCCCAUCGAUUCAGCUCUGCUAUAGAACAUUCGUAUCUCCAGAAGCGUCGCCAGAUUCAUAUCUAUUUGUCAGCAGCCCGCACUGCCUUUACGCUUGGCAAGUUGGGAGCCCCUCAUGGUUGCACUGCGAUUUUUUAAACGCACAUUUGAUUCAUGAGAUGGUGUCCUUCAAAGGCCGCGUCAUUGCGAGGAUACAUCAAAAGCUGUACAUUGUGCAUUUGGCACCUGAAUUUCAUGUUGAGGUACUAAGAGUUGCUUGCAGCGAUAAUAUAUACCCAUCCAUGCUUUCUCGAAAGUUGGUGGUUUGUGAAGAUAUGCUUCUCCUACUAGGUGGUAAUGAGAAAGCCUUCUCCAUCGACUUCUCGACUAAACCUGCAAAGUACGUGAGGGUGGCAGAUGGAGGCUUGUCGAAGUGGGCAUUCUUCUUCGGCGAAAAACCUAUUGGCCAGCCACGACUGUUGGUGAACCCAGAGCGGAUAGGGUUGAAGGGUGGUCAGGUAUACCAGUUGGAUCAAAAUGGCAGAGUAUUUUCAUACCCAGCAUAUGGCGAACAAGAUGGGGAGUGUGUGCCUGAACCUUGUUUUGUGACGAUCAACGCCCAUCUUGCUCGCAAUACGACAUCCGAUGCAUCUUGGGUAUGA
rnacentral:rRNA from 1 species